AGCAGCCGCGGUAAUUCCAGCUCCAAUAGCGUAUAUUAAAGUUGUUGCAGUUAAAAAGCUCGUAGUUGAAUUUCGGGAUCAAUAUGUUGGUCGUGCCUUGGUACGUACUGGCGUCAUUGGUUUCUACCUUCUGAAGAACCUCGAUGUCAUUAAUUUGGUGUCUUGGGGAAUCAGGACUGUUACUUUGAAAAAAUUAGAGUGUUUAAAGCAAGCUCACGCUUGAAUACAUUAGCAUGGAAUAAUGAAAUAGGACGUUUGAUUCUAUUUUGUUGGUUUCUAGGAUCGACGUAAUGAUUAAUAGGGAUAGUUGGGGGCAUUAGUAUUCAAUUGUCAGAGGUGAAAUUCUUGGAUUUAUUGAAGACUAACUACUGCGAAAGCAUUUGCCAAGGAUGUUUUCAUUAAUCAAGAACGAAAGUUAGGGGAUCGAAGACGAUCAGAUACCGUCGUAGUCUUAACCAUAAACUAUGCCGACUAGGGAUCGGAUGAUGUUAAUUUUUUCAAUGACUCAUUCGGCGCCUUA
rnacentral:misc_RNA from 1 species